rnacentral:rRNA from 1 species
GGCAGCAGUGGGGAAUCUUCGGCAAUGGGCGAAAGCCUGACCGAGCAACGCCGCGUGAAUGAUGAAGGCCUUCGGGUUGUAAAAUUCUGUUAUAAGGGAAGAACGACUUUAGUAGGAAAUGGCUAAAGUGUGACGGUACCUUAUGAGAAAGCCACGGCUAACUACGUGCCAGCAGCCGCGGUAAUACGUAGGUGGCAAGCGUUAUCCGGAAUUAUUGGGCGUAAAGAGCGCGCAGGUGGUUGAUUAAGUCUGAUGUGAAAGCCCACGGCUUAACCGUGGAGGGUCAUUGGAAACUGGUCGACUUGAGUGCAGAAGAGGGAAGUGGAAUUCCAUGUGUAGCGGUGAAAUGCGUAGAGAUAUGGAGGAACACCAGUGGCGAAGGCGGCUUCCUGGUCUGUAACUGACACUGAGGCGCGAAAGCGUGGGGAGCAAACAGGAUUAGAUACCCUGGUAGUCCACGCCGUAAACGAUGAGUACUAAGUGU